AGUAUUCAUGUUAUAUUUUUAAUACAAAACAUUUAAAUGUCUACACUAAAAUUAUUCUUAGCACGGAAAAGAAAACGUUUAUUUAUACAAUGAAGUGUUAUCGGUGGGCUAUCGAACAAAGUGAUUUUAAGUAUGUCAACCAGAUUCUCGCUGUUUAAAGCUUCGUAUGCUAAAUAAUGGGCACAUAUCGACCAGUUUUAUCAAUGUAAUGCAAUAUUGCCAUACGUCGUCAUCCUCUGGGACAUAUUGUCCACAAACAAAUGUGAAAUAGUGAUUGAAAACGCGCAUCUCAUUAGACGUCAUCCGUAGGUGUCACUAUCCAAACAAGUUCUACUAACGUAUUCCCUACGAGUAUUAAAUUCAGCAAGUGUGAAGUAUUUCUUUUCAUAAAUACAAUAGUUUAAGAUUUCAACAAAGCCAUGCUUACAAAUACCCGAUGAGAACAAGUCAUGCAUACCGUCAACGCUUUUAUUGGUAAUAACAUGAAAGGAUGGUAAUUGAUUAAAAAUUGAUUUUCCUGAAAUUCCAGUAUCACUUCGACUGUUGAUUUCUACAUCUUCAUUGUAGUCUUGAAUUCGACGACAACAGUCUGCAUGCUCUCUACAAUCUUUCUGUAGUAAUUCUUUUGGACGUCGGCAAAACCGGCAAUAAUAUGAUGCAGAGAAUCCACCAGAAAAGAGCAACAUCGAGUGAACCCCCAAAUUAUCACCCUGGAAUAAGCAUAAAAUUAUCCUGAUUUUUACUAAUUCACCGUCGACAGUCAACUCUAUUCCAACUUCUUCCAUAGUUUUAAAUUUAUCGAUAAGUGGUGCCAUUAACUUGUUUAUUCCGACAACUUUGAUGUCGGCUUUUUUUAACAUUCCUGCUACAAAAAUAUUGUGCAGCUUGGCAGAGAAUUCUUCUGGUAUAGUUGGGAAUGAAUAAUAAAUACCGCAUAUUGAAUGUCGGUUGUUGUGAGAGCUUUGGGUAUCGUUGAUUUCAUACUCGUCGGCGUAUAGCCAUACUGGUAUGCUUAUCUCAUUUUGAUAUUUGUUUUUAAUAUCUUUCCAUAUAGAACCAUUUACAAAAUUAAUUAUCUUAGAUGAUUUUUCCAGUUUUUGCAUAUUUUGCAGUGUACGUUUAAGAAUAUCUUUGCAUUCGAAAAACGAUUUGAUUUGUAAUUCAAUAGCCAUUAAUACUAGGAAGCUUUUGUCAGGAUCGGAAAUCAACUCAUUAUCGACAUCCAGUAUAUCCCUACGGACGAUUAGAUUUUUCUCUAUUGCAAUGA